GUAGUCUCGCACAGAUGCAUAUCAAUAAGCGGAGGAAAAGAAACUAACAAGGAUUCCCUUAGUAACGGCGAGUGAAGCGGGAAGAGCUCAAAUUUGAAAUCUUCAAGGGUUUACCUUUACGAAUUGUAGUUUAAAGAAGUGUUUUCUGUUGAAGUUUUGGUAAAAGUUCUUUGGAAUAGGACAUCAUAGAGGGUGAGGAUCCCGUAUUUGACCAUUAUUUUCAGCUGUGUGAUACACUUUCAAAGAGUCGGAUUGUUUGGGAAUGCAGUCCAAAAUGGGUGGUAAAUUUCAUCUAAAGCUAAAUAUUGGCGAGAGACCGAUAGCGAACAAGUACCGUGAGGGAAAGAUGAAAAGAACUUUGAAAAGAGAGUUAAACAGUACGUGAAAUUGUCAAAAGGGAAGCGUUUGACACCAGUGUUGUUUUCUCGAAAAUCAAUUAAAAAGAGUUUGAUUUUGUUGUGUAUUGACCUUAACAGCUUGCAUUUCAAUUUUCUUGCUUUUUUUAAUGCACUUUUCGUUUAACAAGUCAACAUCAGUUUCUUUUGUUGUAAAAAGGUCAUUGGAAGGUGGCUUUCUUUUCGGAGAAAGUGUUUAUAGCCUUUGACUCCUGCAAUCGGAGAGACUGAGGUCUGCAGCGUAGAUCCUUCGGGGUUAGAUACAUUUGUGCUAAGUUAUAGCUUUUUAUAGACAACUUGUUGACUAUGAUUAGUCUUGUAGCUUACUCGCUUAUGCUAUUUUACCUACGCUUAGGAUGUUGAGCGCAUGUCUCUCUCU
rnacentral:rRNA from 1 species